rnacentral:rRNA from 1 species
AUGCACGCUGGCGGCGUGCCUCAUCCCUGCCAGUCGAGCGAACAGACGAGGAGCUUGCUCCUCUGACGUUAGCGGCGGACGGGUGAGUAACACGUGGAUAACCUACCUAUAAGACUGGGAUAACUUUGGGAAACCGGAGCUAAUACCGGAUAAUAUAUUGAACCGCAUGGUUCAAUAGUGAAAGACGGUUUUGCUGUCACUUAUAGAUGGAUCCGCGCCGCAUUAGCUAGUUGGUAAGGUAACGGCUUACCAAGGCGACGAUGCGUAGCCGACCUGAGAGGGUGAUCGGCCACACUGGAACUGAGACACGGUCCAGACUCCUACGGGAGGCAGCAGUAGGGAAUCUUCCGCAAUGGGCGAAAGCCUGACGGAGCAACGCCGCGUGAGUGAUGAAGGUCUUCGGAUCGUAAAACUCUGUUAUUAGGGAAGAACAAAUGUGUAAGUAACUAUGCACGUCUUGACGGUACCUAAUCAGAAAGCCACGGCUAACUACGUG